rnacentral:misc_RNA from 1 species
AAGUCGUAACAAGGUAACCGUAGGUGAACCUGCGGUUGGAUCAUUAGUGAAUUUUUGAUCUUGCGCUUCCUAGCGCAUCCAACAUUUUGUGAACUGUUAUUGUCUUUGGCGGGUUGUGAGCUUGAAGCUAGGGAUUCAUUCCCUAGUGUAUAAUAGACGUCUGUUCACUAGGAGGGGUUUCCUCCCGCCUUUAGUGGUAAUAGUGGCAGCCAGCCCGUCGGUCGACUAGGCUUAGGCCUAUCGGCGACUAUGAACUUUUUGUUAAUUUUUUGUAAUCUGAUUUGUCCGCGCUGGUUGGCGGAUCUGUGGGAUUAAUAAAUGACAACUUUUGGCAACGGAUCUCUUGGCUCUU